rnacentral:rRNA from 1 species
UACAGAGGGGGCAAGCGUUGUUCGGAAUUACUGGGCGUAAAGGGCGCGUAGGCGGCCUUCUAAGUCGAACGUGAAAUCCCCGGGCUCAACCUGGGAACUGCCUUUGUGACUGCAUGGCUAGAGUACGGUAGAGGGGGAUGGAAUUCCGCGUGUAGCAGUGAAAUGCGUAGAUAUGCGGAGGAACACCGAUGGCGAAGGCAAUCCCCUGGACCUGUACUGACGCUCAUGCACGAAAGCGUGGGGAGCAAACAGG